rnacentral:pre_miRNA from 1 species
CAUAUACUCCCUCCGUUCGGAAAUACUUGUCAUCAAAAUGAAUAAAAGGAGAUGUAUCUAGAUGUAUUUUAGUUCUAGAUACAUCCUUUUUUGUCCAUUUUAAUGACAAAUAUUUUCAGACGGAGGGAGUACUUA